UUCUCUGAACUGCUCAUGCCUGUCACUCCUGGAAUGUCGCUCGUUGCAUUCUUUCUGAGCAAGUUUUGGUCUUUUCAUUUUGAUUAGUUUGUAAGUACCAUUUUUUUUUUAGUUGUACUUGGUUUUGAUGUUGCUACUUCGUCCUGGUCUUUUGCCUCGCUUUUAGUUAUUACUUUUGGAUUGUCUUUUCAAGCUUUUUAGCUUGCAUACCAUUAUUGACAGGAUUAGCCUCAUUCUCAUUUUUAUUGUACUUUUACCGUUCCUAUAAAUACCACUUUUUGAGGCAUUCGGGUUGUCGCCACACACUCCCUGACAGCAUGUUCUCUGAGUGGGUAAAAGUCGGCGCUGGAUUAAAAAUAAUGCCUCUCACCUGGAUAGUACAAAGGUGUGGACAAAACCCGAGAAGUCGGUGGACUUUGGCUUUCAACUUAGACCUGAAGACGCGACAAGAUGCUGGUUUUUGCAUGUUUGUUCACUUGCGGAGUGCGGAUCAUGAUGGAUUUACCUAAACGGAGAACGCAAGUCGGGUGCUGAAAGAUAUAAACAUCCCAUCGGUCGGCAUCCCAGUGAGUACAGUCAUCUUCAAGCGUAUUCCCGUCAUCUUGGUUGCAGCGGUGUAGCGUGCAAGGACGGGAGAUGAAAGGAAUGUCAAAAGAUGGCGCUAACUGUUUUAAUGACAUGUAGACUUCACUUCAAUCAAUAACGGAGCAGCAUCUCCUCUUCCGGAAACAACAAGGCCAGUUUCGUAAAGUCGGCAAGACGUCACCAUGGAGUUACUGAGUCUGUUUAGCUGAUUGAAGAGCUAGCUCCCGCAGCUCGGGGGUCCAUGACGAUGACUUCUGUUUGUUUGAUCGGCCGUUUUACUGCCUUGUUACGGACACCGUUUGGAAACAAGCAAGGUGUUCCCAUACCUGGUGAGCAGACCAGUUCCAAGCCAAGGAUAGAGGAAGCUGUAUGAAUAGGAUUUGUCCAUGUGGACCGGAUUGCCCACCACUGGCUGCAAGAAAAAGCACAAGAGUAAAAAAGUAGUAGUAGUAGUAGUAGUAGUAGUAGUAGUAGUAGUCAGUAGUAGUAGUAGUCUGUAGUAGUAGUAGUCAGUAGUAGUAGUAGCAGUAAUAGAUGAUAUACUGUAGUAGUAGUAGUAGUUAGUGAUAAAGUGGUAGUAGUAGUUGUCUGUAGUAGUAGUAGUCAGUAGUAGUAGUAAUAGAUGAUAUACUGUAGUAGUAGUUAGUGAUAAAGUGGUAGUAGUAGUUGUCAAUAGUAGUAGUAGUAGUAGUAGUAGUAAUAGAUGAUAUACUGUAGUAGUAGUACUCUAGUAGUAGUUAGUGAUAAAGUGGUAGUAGUUGUCAAUAGUAGUAGUAGUAGUCUGUAGUAGUAGUAGUCAGUAGUAGUAAUAGUAGUAGUAAUAGAUGAUUUACUGUAGUAGUAGUAUUGUAGUAGUAGUUAGUGAUAAAGUGGUAGUAGUAAUUGUCAGUAGUAGUAGUAGUCUGUAGUAGUAGUAGUAGUCAGUAGUAGUAGUAGUAGUAGUAGUAGUAAUAGAUGAUAUACUGUAGUAGUAGUACUGUAGUAGUAGUUAGUGAUAAAGUGGUUGUAGUAGUUGUCAGUAGUAGUAUUAGUAGUCAGUAGUAAUAGUAGUAGUAGUAAUAGAUGAUUUACUGUAGUAGUAGUUAGUGAUAAAGUGGUAGUAGUAAUUGUCAGUAGUAGUAGUAGGGGCGGCAUAGCUCGGUUGGUAGAGCGGCCGUGCCAGCAACUUGAGGGUUGCAGGUUCGAUUCCCGCUUCCGCCAUCCUAGUCCCUGCCGUUGUGUCCUUGGGCAAGACACUUUACCCACCUGCUCCCAGUGCCAUCCACACUGGUUUAAAUGUAACUUAGAUAUUGGGUUUCACUAUGUAAAGCGCUUUGAGUCACUAGAGAAAAAGCGCUAUAUAAAUAUAAUUCAAUUCACUCACUUAGUCUGUAGUAGUAGUAGUCAGUAGUAGUAGUAAUAGGUGAUGUACGGUAGUAGUAGUCCGUGAUACAGUGGUAGUAGAAGUUGUCAGUAGUAGUAGUUGUCAGUAGUAGUCAGUGAUACAGUAGUAGUAAUAGUUGUCAAUAGUAGUAGUAGUAGUAGUAGUAGUAGUAGUAGUAGUAAUAUGUGAUAUACUAUAGUAGUAGUCGAUGAUAUAGUGGUUGUAGUAGUUGUCAGUAGUAGUAAUUGUUAGUAGUAGUCAGUGAUACAGUAGUAGUAGUAGUAGUAGUAGUAAUAUGUGAUAUACUAUAGUAGUAGUUGAUGAUAUAGUGGUUGUAGUAGUUGUCAGUAGUAGUAAUUGUUAGUAGUAGUCAGUGAUACAGUAGUAGUAGUUGCCAAUAGUAGUAGUAGUAGUAGUAAUAUGUGAUUGACUGUAGUAGUAGUCAGUGAUAGAGUAGUAGUAGUAGUUGUCAAUAGUAGUAGUAGUAGUAGUAAUAUGUGGUAUACUGUAGUAGUAGUUAGUGAUAAAGUGGUAGUAGUAGUUGUCAAUAGUAGUAGUAGUAGUAGUAGUCUGUAGUAGUAGUAGUCAGUAGUAGUAGUAGUAGUAAUAGAUGAUAUACUGAUAUACUGUAGUAGUAGUACUGUAGUAGUAGUUAGUGAUAAAGUGGUAGUAGUAGUUGUCAAUCGUAGUAGUAGUAGUCUGUAGUAGUAGUAGUCAAUAGUAGUAGUUAGUGAUAAAGUGGUAGUAGUAGUUGUCAAUCAUAGUAGUAGUAGUAGUAGUCUGCAGUAGUAGUAGUCAUUAGUAGUAGUUAGUGAUAAAGUGGUAAGUAAUAGUUGUCAGUAGUAGUAGUCUGUAGUAGUAGUAGUCAGUAGUAGUAGUAGUAGUAAUAGAUGAUAUACUGUAGUAGUAGUACUGUAGUAGUAGUUAGUGAUAAAGUGGUAGUAGUAGUUGUCAAUAGUAGUAGUAGUCUGUAGUAGUAGUAGUAGUAGUAGUAGUAGUCAUUAGUAGUAGUAGUAGUAGCAAUAGAUGAUUUACUGUAGUAGUAGUAGUAGUACUGUAGUAGUAAUUAGUGAUAAAGUGGUAGUAAUAGUUGUCAGUAGUAGUAGUCUGUAGUAGUAGUAGUCAGUAGUAGUAGUAAUAGAUGAUAUACUGUAGUAGUAGUACUGUAGUAGUAGUUAGUGAUAAAGUGGUAGUAGUAGUUGUCAAUAGUAGUAGUAGUAGUCUGUAGUAGUAGUAGUAGUAGUAGUAAUAGAUGAUUUACUGUAAUAGUAGUAUUAGUAGUAAUAGAUGAUUUACUGUAGUAGUAGUAGUACUGUAGUAGUAGUAGUCUGUAGUAGUAGUAGUCAGUAGUAGUAGUAAUAGGUGAUGUACGGUAGUAGUAGUCUGUGAUACAGUGGUAGUAGUAGUUGUCAGUAGUAGUAGUUGUCAGUAGUAGUCAGUGAUACAGUAGUAGUAAUAGUUGUCAAUAGUAGUUGUAGUAGUAGUAAUAUGUUAUAUACUAUAGUAGUAGUCGAUGAUACAGUGGUUGUAGUAGUUGUCAGUAGUAGUAAUUGUUAGUAGUAGUAAGUGAUACAGUAGUAGUAGUAGUAGUUGUCAAUAGUAGUAGUAAUAUGUGAUAUACUGUAGUAGUAGUUGAUGAUACAGUGGUUGUAGUAGUUGUCAGUAGUAGUAGUAGUAGUAGCAGUAGUAGUAGUAGUAAUAAAUGAUCUACUGUAGUAGUAGUCAGUAAUACAGUGGUAGUAGUUGUCAGUAGUAGUAGUUGUCAGUAGUAGUAGUAGUGAUAGGUGAUUUACUGUAGUAGUAGUCGGUGUUACAGUGGUAGUAGUAAUUGUCAGUAGUAGUAGUAGUAGCAGUAGUAGUAAUCGUUGAUAUACUGUAGUAGUAGUCGGUGAUGCAGUGGUAGUAGUAGUUGUCAGUAGUAGUAGUCAGUUGUAGUAGUUGUAGUAGUAGUAGUAAUAGGUGAUAUACUGUAGUAGUAAUAGUCGGUGAUGCAGUGGUAGUAGUAGUUGUCAAUAGUAGUACUAGUAGUAGUAGUAGUAAUAGGUGAUAUACUGUAGUAGUAGUUGGUGAUACAGUGUUGGUAGUACUUGUCAGUAGUAGUAGUAGUAAUACUGUAGUAGUAGUCUGUGAUACAGUGGUAGUAGUUGUCAGUAGUAGUAGGAGUAAUACUGUAGUAGUAGUCUGUGAUACAGUGGUAGUAGUUGUCAGUAGUAGUAGUAGUAGUAGUAAUAUAAGAUAUACUGUAGUAGUAGUCGGUGAUACAGUGGUAGUAGUAGUUUUUAGUAGUAGUAGUAGUAGUAAUAAUACUGUAGUAGUAGUCGGUGAUACAGUGGUAGUAGUUGUCAGUAGUAGUAGAAGUAGUAAUAUGUGAUAUACUGUGGUAGUAGUCGGUGAUACAGUGGUAGUAGUAGUAGUAGUAGUAAUACUGUAGUAGUAGUCGGUGAUACAGUGGUAGUAGUUGUCAGUAGUAGUAGAAGUAGUAAUAUGUGAUAUACUGUGGUAGUAGUCGGUGAUACAGUGGUGGUAGUACUUGUCAGUAGUAGUAGUAGUAGUAGUAGUAGUAGUAGUAGUAUUCCAUAUACUCCACCUCAACAGUCUCAGCAUGGAAGAGAACCACAAAAGGGACGGUGCCGACCCAGAUUUUAAGUAGCGGUGCGUUACAGAACUCCUCAGUGUAAUCUACAAUUUGCCGGAAGAAAUCUGAAAACAAAAGAGGUGUUCAGGUUUUGGUUCUGGUUCAGGUUCUGGUUCUGGUUCCGGUUCUGGUGUUGCACUGUUCACCAGGUGCUGACCCCCUGGCCUCUCCUUACCUCCCGCAUUGGAUUUGAACUGCAGCGCGUUGCCGAUGAAGGGGUAGGUGCCCCCCACCUCCUGGAUGGGCUUCAUCUGGAUCCAUGUGCGCAGGUAGCUGCUCAGGUUCUUGAAGGUCAGCAGCACCAGCACCAGCAGCCCCGCCAGGCCCAGCACAGGCAUGGACACACUCCCGGGUAGGACCGCCAUACUCUGCUCACUCACAAUCUUCCACAACAUGAGUGUAUAAUAAAUACCAGAUGCUGGCUGGUCAUGUGACUCUG